GGGUAGGCAGGCGUUUAUCCAAGUUAACUUUUGUCGUGUGACUGUUAUAUACUUAAAAUAAACAAAAACUAAAAACUUUAUUAGUAUCGCGACGACUUAAGUCAAUACACUUAACAUUCAAGGUCCGUCAGUCCUCUAAAGUAUUCGCCCGGUGAAAACAAUGUUAUUUAAACUAUUAAUAAACAGUUUAUUAAUAUUUUCUUCUUUUGUGGCGUCGCAGGAUUGUAUUACCUACGGAUUAACAUGUUCCCUUGAAAUUCCCUGCUGCGGUGGCUGUUGCCUCAACGGACGAUGCAAGGACACUUAUCUGGAUUGCAAACAGCCGCUGGCGGAAGACCCCUGUAGGAACCGAUUUUGCCCCCAGGGUCAGGUGUGCGCAUCCUAUCAACCCCC